rnacentral:lncRNA from 1 species
CAAAACUGGGCCGUCUUUUUCGAUUUUACAGAUUCGGUCUGAAUUUUCAGCAAACUGACCAAAAUACCCUUAUUGCUUUUUUCUCUAGAUCUCCUCUUUCUCUCUUCUUUUUUUUUCUCUCGUUUAUUUUUUUUCUCUCGCCGAAGAAGGCAGCGGAGGCAGAGGCAGAGGUGGAGGCGGAAACGGCCCGCCUCGCCUCUCUCCCUCAUGCUCGAUCUCACCCUCGCCCUCGACCUCGUCCUCGCCCGCGCACCCCCCGUCUUUCUUGCCUCCGACCCCGCCAAGGCCACACCGCGACUCUGUUUUUUUUUUUUUCCCUCCCCGACUCUCCUCCAUCGUCUUGGACGACGACGCCUCUCUUGCCCUUCCCCGCCUUUAUCAUCCUCUCCCUCUCCCUCAUUCUCUGCCGCUUCCGACGAUGACGCAUCUUCGCCGACGCCGACACCGACACCAUGGAGGUUGUUGGGGCACUGCAGCCUCGGAGCGGGGGGUCCUUAGCAGCGUCGUCGCUAACGCCGUGGCCGCUGGCAAAGAAGGGUGAUAAAAAAAAAUUGUAGAAGAAGGAAGAAAAAAUAAAGACAAAAAAUUAUAGAAAAAAAAAAUAAAGAUGAAAUUGCACCGUUAAAAUAAAAUUGCACUGUUUUAAAAGAACAUUGCAUUAUUAUGGACAUAAGUUGCACUACUUAAGAUGUAAACUGCAGUUUUAAGAUAAAAAUUACACUCUUUAAACGAAAAUUAUACUCUUUGGAAGAUAUUUAUACUGUUUCGCCUCUUAUUUCACUCUUUCAGAUGUAAACUGCAUCUUUUAAGAUGAAAAUUACACUCUUUAAACGAAAGUUGCACUCUUUGAGAGAUAUUUACACUAUUUCUUAUCUUCUUGCAUUCUUUGAGAUAUAAACUGCACCAUUUUAAGAUAUAUUUAUACUGUUUCUCCUCUUAUUGCACUAUUUCUCCCCUUAUUGCAUUAUUUUUUCUCUUGUUACACUUUCUCUUCUUAAA